rnacentral:rRNA from 1 species
ACUCAAAUGAAUUGACGGGGACUUGCACAAGUAGUGGAUUAUGUGGUUUAAUUCGAUGGCAAACGAAGAACCUUACCAAGGUUAGAAAUCCUAACGAAUCUCAGAGGAAACUUUGAGAGUCUCACAAGGACGGUAGGACAGGUGCUGCAUGGCCGUCGUCAGUUCGUGGUUUGAAUUGUUCCCUUAAGUGGGGUAACGAACGCAACCCUCGUUGCCAGUUACAAGUGUCUGGCGAGACUGCCCAGCUUUAAGUUUUUGAAAAUUCGAAAAUUUAAAGCUGGGAGGAAGGCGAGGAUGACGCUAGGUCAGCAUGGCCCUUUGAUAUCUUGGGCUACACACAUAAUACAAUGCCCGUUACAACGCGACGCAAUACCGUAAGGUGGAGCAAAUCGUAAGAAAAGCGGGCUAAGUUCGGAUUGAGGUCUGCAACUCGACCUCAUGAAGCUGGAAUUACUAGUAAUCGCGGGUCAGCUAUACCGCGGUGAAUACGUUCUCAAGUCUUGUACACACCGCCCGU